UAGGGAAUCUUCGGCAAUGGACGGAAGUCUGACCGAGCAACGCCGCGUGAGUGAAGAAGGUUUUCGGAUCGUAAAGCUCUGUUGUAGGAGAAGAACGAGUGUGAGAGUGGAAAGUUCACACUGUGACGGUAUCUUACCAGAAAGGGACGGCUAACUACGUGCCAGCAGCCGCGGUAAUACGUAGGUCCCGAGCGUUGUCCGGAUUUAUUGGGCGUAAAGCGAGCGCAGGCGGUUAGAUAAGUCUGAAGUUAAAGGCUGUGGCUUAACCAUAGUACGCUUUGGAAACUGUUUAACUUGAGUGCAAGAGGGGAGAGUGGAAUUCCAUGUGUAGCGGUGAAAUGCGUAGAUAUAUGGAGGAACACCGGUGGCGAAAGCGGCUCUCUGGCUUGUAACUGACGCUGAGGCUCGAAAGCGUGGGGAGCAAACAGGAUUAGAUACCCUGGUAGUCCACGCCGUAAACGAUGAGCGCUAGGUGUUAGACCCUUUCCGGGGUUUAGUGCCGUAGCUAACGCAUUAAGCACUCCGCCUGGGGAGUACGACCGCAAGGUUG
rnacentral:rRNA from 1 species